rnacentral:rRNA from 1 species
GGUUCGAUUCUGGCUCAGGACGAACGCUGGCGGCACGCUUAACACAUGCAAGUCGAACGAGAGAAGAGAAGCUUGCUUUUCUGAUCUAGUGGCGGACGGGUGAGUAACACGUGAGCAAUCUGCCUUUCAGAGGGGGAUACCGAUUGGAAACGAUCGUUAAUACCGCAUAACAUAAUUGAACCGCAUGAUUUGAUUAUCAAAGAUUUAUCGCUGAAAGAUGAGCUCGCGUCUGAUUAGCUAGUUGGUAAGGUAACGGCUUACCAAGGCGACGAUCAGUAGCCGGACUGAGAGGUCGAUCGGCCACAUUGGGACUGAGACACGGCCCAGACUCCUACGGGAGGCAGCAGUGGGGAAUAUUGCACAAUGGAGGAAACUCUGAUGCAGCGAUGCCGCGUGAGGGAAGAAGGUUUUAGGAUUGUAAACCUCUGUCUUCAGGGACGAAAAAUGACGGUACCUGAGGAGGAAGCUCCGGCUAACUACGUGCCAGCAGCCGCGGUAAUACGUAGGGAGCGAGCGUUGUCCGGAAUUACUGGGUGUAAAGGGAGCGUAGGCGGGAUCGCAAGUCAGAUGUGAAAACUAUGGGCUUAACCCAUAAACUGCAUUUGAAACUGUGGUUCUUGAGUGAAGUAGAGGUAAGCGGAAUUCCUAGUGUAGCGGUGAAAUGCGUAGAUAUUAGGAGGAACAUCAGUGGCGAAGGCGGCUUACUGGGCUUUAACUGACGCUGAGGCUCGAAAGCGUGGGGAGCAAACAGGAUUAGAUACCCAGGUAGUCCACGCCGUAAACGAUGAUUACUAGGUGUGGGGGGACUGACCCCUUCCGUGCCGCAGCAAACGCAAUAAGUAAUCCACCUGGGGAGUACGACCGCAAGGUUGAAACUCAAAGGAAUUGACGGGGGCCCGCACAAGCAGUGGAGUAUGUGGAUUAAUUCGAAGCAACGCGAAGAACCUUACCAGGUCUUGACAUCGUAUGCAUAGCUCAGAGAUGAGUGAAAUCUCUUCGGAGACAUAUAGACAGGUGGUGCAUGGUUGUCGUCAGCUCGUGUCGUGAGAUGUUGGGUUAAGUCCCGCAACGAGCGCAACCCUUACUGUUAGUUGCUACGCAAGAGCACUCUAGCAGGACUGCCGUUGACAAAACGGAGGAAGGUGGGGAUGACGUCAAAUCAUCAUGCCCCUUAUGACCUGGGCCUCACACGUACUACAAUGGCUGUCAACAGAGGGAAGCAAAGCCGCGAGGUGGAGCAAACCCCUAAAAGCAGUCUUAGUUCGGAUUGUAGGCUGCAACCCGCCUACAUGAAGUCGGAAUUGCUAGUAAUCGCAGAUCAGCAUGCUGCGGUGAAUACGUUCCCGGGCCUUGUACACACCGCCCGUCACGCCAUGGGAGUCGGUAACACCCGAAGCCUGUAGUCUAACCGCAAGGAGGACGCAGUCGAUGGUGGGAUUGAUGACUGGGGUGAAGUCGUAAAAAGGUAACC